rnacentral:lncRNA from 1 species
CUGCCUCUACCCACUCUCCUUCCCCCUCCCUCCUCUUCCUCCUCCUUCUCUUUCUCCUCCUCCUCCCCUUCCUCUUCUUCCUCCCACACCUCCUUCUCCUCCUCUGGCUUGAAAUAUUGGCAAGGACUGUAAUAAUAGCCAAAGAAGUAAGAGUUUAUGUGUUAAUUUGUUCCCAUCUAUCUCUGCUGUCCAUACAGGAGGACUGAGAAGGAAGCUGUUUAGACCAUGCCAUAUUUCUUAGGCCCCAAGAAUCUUACAGAUGGACAGAUCUUCUCUUCAAAUCCUGCCGUCGCAGCCCAGAGAAAGAGACAGCCACUGGAGCAGCACAUCCUCCUGAGGGAAAAUUCAGAAGACAAAUACUCCCUUCAACAAACAAUUCAGUUGACUCGUAAGUGA